rnacentral:lncRNA from 1 species
CCUAACACCAGCUGCUAACACUGCCAGCAGGCAUAUAUUUUGGAUAUUUAAAAUCUGGGCUCGUAUUUGAAGCAUCCAUUUGACCCAGCAAAAUUUUGGAUCAAAUUCAGGAUUAUACGGAGCAUCCAAUGCAAAAUCCAGAUAUCAUCAAAUAGCGAGAACAGUGUCUGGAUUUGGCAGUCUCAGUGGUCCCGUAGAGCACCGGAGGAUUUUGCCAAUUCGGUAAAGGGCUAUUUGGAGUAAGUAAAUAACUGUGUUAAAGUUAUCCUGAAUCUGGUGUAUGAAACAUUGAGUAAUAAGGUACACCAUCCGUAUAUUUCAUGAACAAACAAUAGCAAGAUCUGCAUAUUCAUAACUUCGUUAUCAUUUCACAUUGUGUCAAUUCACAGCUAAUCACUACAUAUGAGCAGGAGGCUCUUAUUAACAGAAAAGAAAAUAACACAAACAUGGUUGUGAAGCUAAAGACGUAGCUUCUAUUAGAAGAGUAUAUUUAGAAGUGAAACAUAUGUUUGCUUCCAGAAUCCUGAAUGUUGAGUCAUCGUCACAGAUUCUCUUAGCAAUAGUCACGUAACUGUCAAUAUGCGUAAUCACUUUAUUGAUUUUUUAUUGAGUUUUUGUCGGCAGGUUUGAUAUUAACUAUGCUUUUUUCUUUUGCUGUGUGUAUUUCCUCGGCUCUUGUUAAAUUCACAGAGAUUUUUAUUGCUUUACAGUCAUUUCUUUCAAAUGCAGUAGUGUCUAUGCUUGUGCACGGAAAAUGUAAUUUCGUUUGUCCAAAUCGAUGUCUGAAAAAAAAUGUUUCUGGCAAUUCGGCUUGUGUCCAUGUCGCGUUUCCAUUUUCAUUAAAUUUGUCCAUUCCAUAAUUUUGGGAAUAACCUACUAGACAAACUUAAAAGGUGAAAAAAAUGGAAAUACUUUGAUUUUUGCAUCAUUUCGUUCACAGAUCAAGUGAAAAGAAGUAACAGAUAACAGAUAAAGAGACCCAAGCAGGAUCAGUAAAUCAUCUAUAUUUAUAUAUUACAUAUUUAUGAAAUCUAUAAUAAUAUGAAAAUAUAUAAAUAAAGAUUUACAGUUCCUCUGUUUUGUUCACAAUAUCCAUGACUCUGCCCUAGCCGUCAAUCAUCCCUUCUUUUGGAGUCACAAAUGGAACUCUGAAUCACGAACCGUUUUGUGUGUUUUUUGUCUGUUUUGCGAUUCAUCCAUGCAGCAUUUUCUAUCAUUUCUGAGUUCUGCUUGAACUGAAUACACAAGUAUUAGAGUGACCACUUCACUGAGCAUUGGGAUGUUGGCCAACGCUUUAAAGUAGGGAAAGCUAUUUACUUUGGGGCAUAAUUUGAUGAAGGUUCAAACUUUACACUACUCCAUCACUAGCCCAUUUACUACAAAUAAGGCCAAUGAGAAACUCAUCAUGUAUGUGCUACCGUGACCUUGUUACACUACCAACUCUUGUACCAACACCUCUAGUGCCACCACCGCUAAGUGCCACCAGAAAGUCACUGUUGUGCUGCCUCACUAGCCUCUGGUGCACCACUGAACACCUACGGUUCUGCCAUAGCUUGUAUUUUAAGAGAAUGCACCAACAUGUUCCCCUAUAUCACCAAUAUUUUAAUUCCCAACAGGGGAAUUACUCUGACCGAAUACCUUCUCUGAGAAUCUCUCCCACAUCCAGCAAAGUUUGAGUGAUCAUAGCCCAUUUCCAAACAUCAGCCAGGACUUAUUGAAGGGUAAACAAUAUGCAGUUUUAUUGAAGAAAACACAGACUUAUAUAGAUAGACCUCCAGCUUUGGGUCUCCAGCAGAAGUAUAGACAAUCCCGCCCAGGCGCCUCUGUGUCUGGGAGAGAAUUGAAAUAAAUAAUUAUCUCCCAGACACACAGAUACAUAACACAAAUAUACACAGAACACAAAGUUAUACAUGAGGAAUAUACAUAUGGUAUCCCCUGAUAACUCAUCCCUGAGUGCCCAAUCUGUGAAAAUGGCGAUAUGAUCCAAUGUACGUAGUGGAAACGCCAUUCAGCUAAAGUGUUGACUGGCCGCGGCUAAGAUUUAAUCUGAAAAUAGUUCCACUUGGUACUAGCGCUAGAUAUCCCUUUAUUUUUACAGUCGGCAUGCCAAUGAAGUCGAGUGGCUUGCAGUCUGGGUUCUUUCGCUGGGGAACACCGGCCGGUUCGCGGGGAAGCCAUAUUAUGUGAUUAUAGUUCCUUUUAGCAAUAGUUCUUCACACUGAGCAGUCUUUACAUGUUUAUACACUGCUUGACUCUAACACAGGGAGAAAACCUGUAUUUUGCAGUCAUUCAUUAAAUACCAUUGUUUCAGUUAUUCACCCAGUGUUCCGUACACGCUGAUUCCUAAUAUUGAACAAAAAUUAUACAUUUAGAUACAAUUAUAUUUAUUUUUUGUUGAGACAGCAGAAAAAAAACUACUUAAGAAGAGCAGAAUUUAAAAAAAAAAUUUUUUAUGGGUAUUUCACAAUUUAUUAUUUUUUUAAAUUUCUAUAUGAACAGCUUAUACGUAAAUAUUCUUCGUUUUCAACUUUCUGUUCGUCCGUUGAACAUAAACUCCACUAUUGGUGUGAUACAAACCCAAUUCCUCUUAAAUGAUCCCACAUGUUAUUCCAGUGAGACCGGAGUCCUUAUUUUCACCAACAGCUGUAAGUAUGAUUAAUAAAUGAUGAUUUUUACCUCUGGAUGUCGAACAAGAAGGAGUGUUUGUGUUUUCCCCGGAGGGGAUCUUUGACAAAAACAGAGACUGUUGUGGUUUUAAGUGAUUUGUUGAAUGGUUUUCAAAGUCACAGUUAAUUUUUUA